AUUGAACGCUGGCGGCAGGCCUAACACAUGCAAGUCGAACGAGUGGCGGACGGGUGAGUCAUGUCUGGGAAACUGCCUGAUGGAGGGGGAUAACUAAUGGAAACGGUAGCUAAUACCGCAUACCAUCAGAUGUGCCCAGAUGGGAUUAGCUAGUUAGUGGGGUAACGGGUCAACACGGCGACGAUCCCUAGCUGGUCUUAGAGGAUGACCAGCCACACUGGAACUGAGACCCGGGCCAGACUCCUACGUGAGGCAGCAGUGGGGAAUAUUGCACAAUGGGCGCAAUCCUGAUGCAGCCAUGCCGUGUGUAUGAAGAAGGCCUUCGGGUUGUAAAGUACUUUCAGCGGGGAGGCGUUACCCGCAGAAUAAGCACCGGCUAACUCCGUGCCAGCAGCCGCGGUAAUUC
rnacentral:rRNA from 1 species